GACGAACGCUGGCGGCGUGCCUAAUACAUGCAAGUCGAACGAACCGCGACUAGGUGCUUGCACUUGGUCAAGGUGAGUGGCGAACGGGUGAGUAACACGUGGGUAACCUACCUCAUAGUGGGGGAUAACAGUCGGAAACGACUGCUAAUACCGCAUAGGACAUGGGAUCACAUGAUUCUGUGAGGAAAGGUGGCGCAAGCUAUCGCUAAGAGAUGGACCCGCGGUGCAUUAGCUAGUUGGUAGGGUAACGGCCUACCAAGGCGAUGAUGCAUAGCCGACCUGAGAGGGUGAUCGGCCACAUUGGGACUGAGACACGGCCCAAACUCCUACGGGAGGCAGCAGUAGGGAAUCUUCCGCAAUGGACGCAAGUCUGACGGAGCAACGCCGCGUGAGUGAAGAAGGUCUUCGGAUCGUAAAGCUCUGUUGUUAGAGAAGAACAGCGCAUAGAGUAACUGUUAUGCGUGUGACGGUAGCUAACCAGAAAGCCACGGCUAACUACGUG
rnacentral:rRNA from 1 species